GUCAGAAGCCAGGCGUUUUCUUCCUUGCGUACUUUCGACAGGAUCUUCGAGAUCUUGUCGUUGUUGUCGGUGGC
rnacentral:sRNA from 1 species